GAUGAACGCUGGCGGCGUGCCUAAUACAUGCAAGUCGAGCGAACAGACGAGGAGCUUGCUCCUCUGACGUUAGCGGCGGACGGGUGAGUAACACGUGGAUAACCUACCUAUAAGACUGGGAUAACUUCGGGAAACCGGAGCUAAUACCGGAUAAUAUAUUGAACCGCAUGGUUCAAUAGUGAAAGACGGUUUUGCUGUCACUUAUAGAUGGAUCCGCGCCGCAUUAGCUAGUUGGUAAGGUAACGGCUUACCAAGGCAACGAUGCGUAGCCGACCUGAGAGCGUGAUCGUCCACACUGGAACUGAGCCACGGUCCAUUCUCCGUCGGGAGGCAGCAGUAGGGAAUCUUCCGCAAUGGGCGAAAGCCUGUCGGAGCAACACCGCGUGAGUGAUGAAGGGCUUCGGAUCGUAAAACUCUGUUAUUAGUGAAGAACAAAUGUGUAAGUAACUAUGCACGUCUUGACGCUACCUAAUCAGAAUGCCACGGCUAACUACGUG
rnacentral:rRNA from 1 species